GAUGAACGCUGGCGGCGUGCCUAAUACAUGCAAGUCGAGCGAACAGACGAGGAGCUUGCUCCUCUGACGUUAGCGGCGGACGGGUGAGUAACACGUGGAUAACCUACCUAUAAGACUGGGAUAACUUCGGGAAACCGGAGCUAAUACCGGAUAAUAUAUUGAACCGCAUGGUUCAAUAGUGAAAGACGGUUUUGCUGUCACUUAUAGAUGGAUCCGCGCCGCAUUAGCUAGUUGGUAAGGUAACGGCUUACCAAGGCAACGAUGCGUAGCCGACCUGAGAGGGGGAUCCGCCAACCUGGAACUUAGAACCGGUCCAGACUCCUACGGGAGGGAGCAGGAGGGAAUCUUCCGGAAUGGGCGGAAGCCUUACGGGGGAAAGGCGGGGGGGGGAAGAAGGUCUUCGGAUCCGAAAACCCUUUUAUUAGGGAAGAACAAAUGUGGAAGUAAACAUGCACGGUUUGACGGUAACUAAUCAGAAAGCCACCGCUAACUACGUG
rnacentral:rRNA from 1 species